rnacentral:sRNA from 1 species
AUGGAAAGCCGUACCUGCAAGCAUGAAAAGGCAUUCGACCUUGGAACCCGCCCAAACAAGAGGAAGGAGCGAUUUACGAAGUAAAUCAGCGGAAUCCGAAUGUUAGGAGGAUUGCGGGAGCCGCGAAGCGGCGGAGCAAUCCGUGGGUA